AUUGAACGCUGGCGGCAGGCCUAACACAUGCAAGUCGAGCGAGCGGCGGACGGGUGAGUAACACGUGGGUACCUCCCCACAGAGGGGGAUAACUACUGGAAACGGUGGCUAAUACCGCUUACUAUCGGAUAACCCAUAUGGGAUUAGCUAGUAGGGGGGGUAAAGGCUCACCUAGGCGACGAUCUCUAGCUGGUUUGAGAGGAUGAUCAGCCACACUGGGACGGAGACACGGCCCAGACUCCGACGGAGGCAGCAGUGGGGAAUAUUGCACAAUGGGCGCAAGCCUGAUGCAGCCAUGCCGCGUGUAUGAAGAAGGCCUUAGGGUUGUAAAGUACUUUCAGCGGGGAGGCGUUACCCGCAGAAGAAGCACCGGCUAACUCCGUGCCAGCCGCCGCGGUAAUUC
rnacentral:rRNA from 1 species